CGCACAGCUGGCACUUGGCGGCGGCGGCGGCGGCGCGGCCCUGCCGGUAGCGCUGCACGAUGGUUUCCAGCAGCCGGUUGCGCUGGAAGCCGCGGAGCCCGCGCUGGUCCAGGGAGGCGCUCCGGUGGCACUGCGGGCAGACCACUGCUGAGCUAAUACUCCUGCUGCUACAGCAGAGUUUUAUAGAGUCAGGCUGCCCGUUUGUGACUGCAAUGCCUUGGGCAAGAGGACUGGAUGCUGGCUACCAAUGCUGCACACAGCUCCUGAAGACUUAACACACAGAAAUCCCUAAGGAAUGCAUCUUCAUCUGUUUCUUCAUCUGUUUUUUUCUCAGUCUGUGUAUCAUUGUGUGAGAAGCUGCUGCAAAGUCCUGAGCAGAUGUCGCCUGCACUUUCCUUGUUAAUGAAGGAGCUGAGGUCUUGUUACAGAAUCUGUCUUUUUACCAGCAUAUACCAGUUUAUUCCUCUUACAGACAUGGUACAUUGUGUACAAGUCUCUUCAAAGAGCACAUAUAUACUUUAACAAUAACACGUUGCCAAAUGUGUUUCCUCUCAGAGGCAGAAGAUGAGAGAGUAUUUCCCUAAAUAAAUACAUCCCCCAUCUAUUUUAUCCUCCCAUAUUCCUGCAGACAAAGACCUGAGGAAAGAUAAGAAAUUGUAAUCUUUCCCUGAAACCUGCUCCACUGCCCUUGCUUGACUAGGACAUGGCACAGCAGAGGUCUUCACUGGGAAUGUUGCAGAGCCAUGGCACACUAGACUUAGGCACAUGGCCUGUAAGCCCCGAACAGUUCUUAAUGAAACAAUUGACUCUGUAGCAGUCAAAAAUCAAAUCUUGAGGAAUAUUCAGAUGUAAAAAAUAAACCCCUCCAACCGUUGAGAAUCAGGGCAUCAGAAAUGUCCAUCAGUUAUUGCCCAUCAGAUUAUUCACACUGCAAAUAAUCAGAUGGUUUUGACAGCUGUAUUCUGCUGUGGCUGUAACCUCUGUGGAAACUCUGAGGGGUAGUGCAAAAUGGGGUAUCCCCAUCCUUAAGUAACAUAUAUAUGUGUAACUAUAAGAAACCUACAUGUAAAGGUGCAAACAAGAAAUAUGAAUGGAAAAAAAAAAAAGAGAUCCUCACUACAUACAGUAGCAGAAAUGUGAGCAGAAAUAGAGGAAUCGGAGUGUCCUCUCCCCUGCAUCCAUUUCAGUUUAGCUAUUCUUGUUUUCCACUUUUCCUCUGUCUUUUGGCUUCUCCCUUAUGUCUUGCUGACCAUUUAAAUAACUGUUUUAAGAGUGCUAUUUUCUUGGCACUGUUUCCAAAAAACAUUUCUUUCCCCUUGUCACAUCUUUGUUUUUAUUUCUUUCUUUAUUAUCUCACUGGUUGCACACCUCACCCUGCUGCUGUGACAACACCCCCAAACGUGCACUUCAAAUUUGCUUAUUCCUCCCUGUUGUCUUCGUUCCAGCCAAAGCCUCUGUGAUCUUUGACCUCUGUUCUUUCUUCCCUGUGAGGGUCUUAACCUCACAAGAGGCUCUUCUUCUCUCCUUGCCUUUUUCUUAUUUCACUGCUUCUUUCUCAAUGUCAUUAUCUCUCUUUUCCACCACCAACACAACCACCUCAAAGUUGCUCCUAUGAUUCUCAUCUUCCUGCCUCUCCUGAGACUUUCCUCAUUGAAUUUCCCAUAAGGAUCCCUGCAAAGAUCACAAGACCUGUAGAACCCCCUGCCAAAGUGAUGAAAUAUGCAUUGGCUCUACCUGUGCUAACAGCAAUAGCCCUUUUGAGCCUCCCAUGUCAAUCAUGAACUCUGCUGUUCACACAGCAUCCUGCGAAGACGAUAAAGUAAGCAUGGACUCCCGCAGAGAAAAUAAAAGCCGGAAGGGCUCCCUUGAUGCUUCACAUUACACAGAAGCUUCAAAAAGCUAGGGAUAAAUAUAUUGAAUGUUUUCAAGACAAGGAAGCACAGCAAAAUGUUGCAGAAUGAUUCAUUUAGAGGAAUUUCAGAAAUGUGAAGGAAAUACACAGCACUGGGUUAAAAGGCAAGGGUGAUACAGAGCAGUGGCAUAAUACUUAAAAACUUCAUAGGAAAAAAAAGGAGAUAGGGAAGAAUUAGAGCCUAGAAACUCAAAGUUAAGUUAACCCAACUGUUGCAUAUAUAAGCAAUCAGGACCAAGUCGGAUUCAAAAGGCUUAAAUCUAACUCAGCACCUUGCUGUCCCAGGCUCUCUAACAGUUAAUGUUUGUCGAUAGACUAUGAAGUAUCUGACACCCUAAACUUUCUGUAGCUUUAGUAGUUCUUUGGCUUAUACUGCCGUCAUCCUAAACUAGGUCUAGCAUAAUUUAAAUUGCAGAAGACACACAUAAGGGAAUAUCCUUGCAUGCAGGGCUGUAGUCUUUUUGAAAAUCAUAAAAACUUAAAGUAGUUAGCAAUUUCCCAACCACUGACAUAAAUAAAUUAUGUAAGGAAAGUGGGCUGGAAAGGAACUGAAUCUUUGGGUGAAGUACAAAAAAGAAAACAGAGCAGGCAAUGCCGCUGUCUUACCAGAGCAAGGGCAGGAGAACAGUCUGUGGUCUUCUCAUAGCCAUUGGUUCUUAGGUACAGCCGUGGCUCACUCUGGGGCAAGGAUGCUACACAGACUUUAGCUCUUCCUCCUUUCAGCACAAGGCAGACUGAACAAGCAGCACCUUCAGCCAGAUCGUGGAUGUGUCCAUCCCUUGCUGACUGCCUGACCCAUAACUUUAAAACUCAUGACACCACCACUGACAUUCAUGUGUGUAAUUCAUUUUGCAUUAACAAAUUCUGCAGGUGAAGCUUUUGUUCAAAACCAGUGGCGUCUGUCUUAAAAUGUAGCUUGUUUUCUCUAAAGGUCCAUUGCAACACUCAGCUUUAGCUUGUUUUUUCCACUGUUUUUAUAUAGCCAUUUGCUUCUACACCAGAAAACAGAUGAUGCCAGCUAAACACAAAUUUAUGCCAGUAUGGAUUUAAUUACUUUAGUGUAGUUGAACUAAGUGAUGUGUUUAGCUUGCUUGGUAGUGUUCCUUUCCUUCUGUUCGAUAAAUUAACAGUUGUGAUCAUAGAUUUUUAAUAAAAUGCCAAGGUCUAAUUUCUUUUUAUGGCUGUGAGGUCCCUACCUGAUAAACAUAAAACAAGACUUACUAAUACCACUGUUUACAGUAAUCUUUUAACCUACUAUGUGCUUGUUUAUAUUUCACUUGAGGGUUGUUGGUUUUUUUUUUUCCCCGAGUACCAGCAGAAAUGUGUGAUGAUUGAGAAAAAUUACCAUAUGAGCAAUGUUUAAAAGUGUGUAGUUGUACAGCUCUGUAAACUGGGAGGCGAAGAAGAGCCAGAGUGGUAUAAUCCCUUGUUCAGGCUAGGCUGCUUCUGUCAUCUGAGAGGACAAAAAUUCAGACAGUAGGGCAUUGCACUUCCACUGCCAUCUGAAAAGUGCCCAAGGGGAGCUGUGCUUUGCUAGCUCAAGCUAUUUUCUUGCCCAUCUGCUCAAUUUAUUUAGAGAAGUGCAUUACGCAACCUAACUUCCCUGCUGUAGUCCUGCUAUGUUGAGGUUCAAAUGGAUGUGGCAAUGCACUUUGCAAUUCUAGGGGAAGUUUUGAGGAAAAGUACUGAUUAUAUCAAAUCAGGCUUUUCAGUCUGCAAUGGUAAAGGCAUUCCUAUAUAGCUAUUAAAAAAACCUCAAACGUAACAACCAACAACAACAAAAAAAAAGAAAAUAUCUGAGGAAAGAUGAAAAUUAAAACUGAGGAAGGCUGAAAUACACUCAACUGUAUCAGCAAGAAGGAGUAAUACUGUGAAAACCAAUCAGGACAAGACUAGCGACACAUUAUCUGCACAGCUUGGGUGUUUGGCAGCGAAAGAGUGAUGUUAUCGUACACCAACAAUCCAGGGCAUGGUUACCUGCAGUCCUUCAGAUUGUCUCAUAUCACUGCCAGUAUGGAAAGUAACACUUGUAAAUCACCCAUGUUAAGUGCUUGCCCUCAACUAAAAAAAUAAACAUUUUAGUGGCUAUCUGAAAUGUGAUAAAACAUCCCUAUUAAUAUUUAGUUUAAUGAAAUCCUUCUUCAAAUCUUCUUCAUAUCCUAGAUUUUCUGUGAUAAAAUUGUCUGGUGGUGACCUGUAUACAGGCUAGUAUUACAAACGACACCGUCUUUCUUGAUCCUCGAUCCUCUCUUGUGAGACCUCAUCUGAAGUAUUGCGUCCAGUUCUGGAAUCUUCAACAGAAGAAGGAUAUGGAACUGUUGGAACGGGUCCAGAGAAGGGCUACAAAACUGAUCAGAGGGCUGGAGCACCUCCAUAUAAAGACAGGCUGAGAGAAUUGGGGUUGUUCAGCCUGGAGAAGAGAAGGCUCAAAGGGGCUACAGGAAAGCUGGAGAGGGACUGUUCACAAUGGCUUGUAGUGAUAGGACAAGGGGCAAUGGGUAUAAACUGGAGAGGGGUAGAUUUAGACUAGACAUAAGGAAGAAUUUCUUCACUAUGAGAGUGGUGAGGCGCUGGCACAGGUUGCCCAGGGAAGCCGCAGCUGCCCCAUCCCUGGAGGUGUUCAAGGCCAGGCUGGAUGGGGCCUUGGGCAGCCUGAUCUAGUGGGAGGUGUCCCUGCCCAUGGCAGGGGGCUUGGAACUAGAUGAUCAUUAAGGUCCCUUCCAACCCAAACUAUUCUAUGAUUCUAUGAUGAUUCUAUGAUUCUAUGAUUAUGUGAAUAUUGCGUACCUCUCAGCUCUAUUUGGUAAAUCAGUGUUGCUUUAAGGACCUGGCUUCCCUAGGUAAAAGAGUGUAAACAAAUUUUUUCAUGGGCUCUUUUCUGAGACAUUCAACAUUCAGGUACCACAUGCAUCCAGUUACUUUUUAAGAGCAGGGAGAAGUGGUUGGUCACAAUGGUGGAUGUGAUCAACCGUUUCCAUCUCAAUCUAUCCUUGUUUCUUCUGGAGCACCAAAUGCCAUCACUGCACUGAUCCAGCAGGGCUAUAUGAAUCUUUCUCAGGUUGCUACGUCACAGGUUUGCCCUAGUCCCAAAAAGCCCGUUUUCCCCAAGAACAGGCUGAGUUGUAGUUCAGGAAGGUGUGGACUUAGAGGACAAAAUGCUAAAGAGGCCAUACCACCCUUGACAAUGCAGUUGCAUCUGCUGCUGGCUUCAAAAAUCCCCAUAAUGCAUUGAUUUGGAUCUACACUGUGCUGUGUUUAUGCAAUAUGAACAGCUGUAGGACAUCACUACUGCUGUUGGGAUGGAUUUGACAGCCAGGCUGCUGCCUCCAAUAAAAACUGACAUAAGCUUGUCUUUGAGGUUGAGUAUCACUUACUCAAUGAGAAGGACCUGCACAGGUAUCAAUACAGAGCAUGUUUCAGACCUAGGAUCAGACCCAAUGCCCUCUACAGCUGAAGUCAGUGGACAGACUGUUAUUGACUUUUAUGAGAUUUGGAUCAUGCUUUGUUUGGCCUUGUCUUAGGAAUGCCAGAGGUAUCCAGAACAUACUAUGAAGCAUCUUCCUACAAAAACCUUGGAAGCUACCUUAAAUUGCAUGCUUCUUGCAGUUUUAACCAGCUAGGGCUUUGCUGAUAGUUCGUUAAAUGAAGUAAGAAUUAAAAGUAAUGCAUUUUCAGAAUUGGGUCUAGAGCAGAGACAGCAAAGUGUUUAAGUUCUGAACUGAUAAACAAAUAAUGGUAUUUUAGGUUGUUACUUGUUUAGUUCCCAAUUUGUGACAGUUCGCCAAAGUGACAGAAAAUUAUCAUCUUUUCCCUCUCUGCCUCAGAGCAAAGAAUGACUCGGCAAGAAUGAAGCUGGUAAAUAUAAAUGGCUUCAUCGAAAUAGCGACUGCCACAAGAUGCAAGUAACCCACUUUCAGAGCACUGACAGAAUUAUGUUGAUCCUAUUCUAAAAAUUUUGUAAUCUUUGAAACAUAAAAGACUUGGUUCUUGUUAUUUUUUGCUUACAGUAGAAAACUGACAAGAAUUGUGAGAUAACUUAAAGUUAUUUUGGGUCACUGAUAUUCCAAAAGUCCAGAAAACUCAUGAUUAAUUAAAAAGCAAUUGUACUGCAAAAAGUGACCACGUAAAAAUGCUAAGGCAUGUAUACCUUGUACUCCAAAUCUUACUUCUUACACUGUAGGGGCUUUGUGGCCUUGUAUAAUUAUACAUUGGGAAAAAAUGAAUUUGUACAAUGUCACAUUAUCAAAGAUCCAUUUUCAUGAUAAGCAUUAGACUUGUUAGUAAUCAUAAUUCUGAUGGUUCCUGUUCAGGCAUUUUCUUUAGGCUUCCAUCUUCCUCAGCCUAUUUAGCAAAGAUAGAAAAAAAAUACUCUUGCAUAUGCCCAGGCAGAAUGAUUCUUAUUUUUCCAGACCUGCCAGAAAAAUACUUCAGAAAUCCUUGUUCUUUUCUUCUAAGACAUUUGUAUACCUGUUUGUUCCUGUUAGUGACUGAUUAUGUGAUCCACUUGAUCUCAUCUAAUUUCCAGCACAGAUGUUUGCUUUUUGCAGCUUCCCCUCUUUGCAGAUAUUUGUUAUCGCAUUUCCCCCUGCAGGAGUUUUAGUCUUUUGUUUUGCUUUGCUUUCUAGUUUUUUUGUUUGGCUUUGGUUUUUUGUUUCCUUUUGCAGCCUUAACAGAUAUCGCAGAUUGCUUUUUUUGGUUUAGGCUCUGCCCAUGCGAUGCUCCAGACAGCACCAAGUUCUAAAAUGGCAAAGAAAUGAACAGAUUAUCAUUUGGUUUGAUCCUGCCACAUGUGUGAGUGCCUGCAACAAUACAACAGGUGCCUAAGGUGUGCACAGGAAUCACUGCCCUUCAGCACAAUUCCUACUUGGCAGCGAUGGCUGUUGGCAUUAUAGCUCUUCCCCAACAGCUCUGCCAAGGAAGAACACCUCUGAAAAGCUGGAGGGACUUCAGGGAGGGAAGAUGGAAUGAGCCUCAGUGCUCUGGAUGUGUUUCUCAGUCUAGAUAUCGGUCCGGGACAAUGACGUCUGGCUGCAAUAAACUGAGAAGGGUGACUGUUGUGAAGCACACAAGAGCUCAGCACAUGAUGAGAGGGAGCAUCCUCCCUCUUGGCAAGCACUUGAGUAGGUGUCAGAGAAGCAACCACAUAGUUUGCAGGGCCUGAAAGGGGCAUUUCUAAUAGAAAAGGAGGGAAAAGAGUGGAAAUUUGAACUGUUCUGAUGUAUUUCUCUGACAGAUUCAGUUCAGGUAAAAAUCUGAUAUCCUAAGUACUUAAACCAAGAAGUAUUUCAAGUGUUAUGUUUGCUGCAUGGAAUAUAUUUUAAGUUAAAAUACUGACGGUAUUUUAAAGUUAUUCCUUUGCCUAUGCAAUUAAAAAAAUGUAUUGCUCAUACUAAAUAAGGCUCAGCCUUAUUGCUGUUUGGGUGCCACAUACUAAAAUGCUGCAAGAAGCAGUGAUGACAGUUCAGCUAGUAGAACAUCUGCCUCUGAGUCAGUAAUUACCAGGUGCCCCUGCACUGAAUUUAGGGGUCACCAGGGUGCUGAAUGUGCUGUUCUUGUGUGAAAUAUGAAACAAAAAUUCUAAUCACUUGUUGGCUAUUAAAUAACUGAUGACAGCUCUCAUCAGAGACUCACAAUAGCUUUGCUCCUCUAACUGUGCCAGGUAAUUACAUUCUCUCUACCUAAAUGAACUUUCAAUUACAGAGAGUACUUUUCUCCUUUAAACUGUUUAGAAAUAAUGCUAUGCACCGUUACCUUAUUGCCCUUGUCCCAUUUCAGAGGCAGCUCAAUUUCAGCACUAGACAAAGAGACCCAGGUCCCUACAAGGAUGCUCCACGCAAGCUUCAGCCAGGCCUUGAUUUAGGUUCUGGAUGCUGUGCUCUCAGGCAUUGCUGUAGCCUCAUCCAUACUGUGCGAUCCCAGCUGCUGGAAGGAAGAGGCCUUACUGAAGUCUGCCCAUCACUUUCCACAUCUGAGACCUCACAGAGGAGUGCAGGCUGUUUGCACCAGGUAGUACCCCAGUGCAGGCAGAGGGCAGUAUGGGAUAAUGGCAUUUGGCCCAGCUGAACUGAAGGGUAUGACUUGGGGUGUUUUACGUCCUCAGGAUUGCAUUUGAUUAUUCAGCAAUUCAAUUCAGGCACAAAUCUACUUGCAUUUGUGGGAGAGGAAGGUCAGUUUUCAAGAACGCAGGUACAUCUGAAUUAUGCUCCCCUCCCCAGCAAACAUUAUAGCCAUUUGCAGCUGAAGAGAAGUGUUUAUCUCAUGGGCAGUGUAAUCUAUAUCUGUCUUAUGGAGAUAUGGCAUCUUACAGAUUUUUGUAUUCAGCUUGGAAAAAAUUCUUAUAUAUACAUUUACUGAGAGAGGACACAGAAUAAUGAAGCAAGAAAUAUAAUCUCUUUAUUGACAUUAGCUGAACAUAAUAGUAUGUAGAAACAUCCAUGUUUGCUUACAACUGGCCAUUUUCCAGUGAAAUAAAUAAUUCUUUAAAAAAAAAGAUUAACUAGUACUCCUCACUCAAAAAUGCUUCAAGGAAAAUAUCAAAUUGCUAGAUAAUCUGCAAUACACUGCGAGAACAAAUCCUUCUUACUUCUGCACACCCGCAGCCAUCCCUGUUCAGCAGCACUUUCUUUCUGCCUUGCAGUUUUGCCUGCAGAUUUAGAACUCCCAUCACUUUUACCUCAAAUGACCUCAGCCCAGCUUAGAUGGCAUCCUCCAGAUUUGACCUCAAUGCAGAUCUCACAAAAGGAAAGGGUCUGUUCAGUGUCACUAGGAUAAUAAGACAAAUACCCUUAAAGCCUAUAGCACUGAUCCCCUGGCUAUCUGCUUUCAGUAAUCAGAUUCUGGAAAGCUGUUACAGUAAGUGAAGUUGGCACUAUUAAGAGUAAGAAACACGGUGCUGUGAGGCUAACAAACUUAACUAAUGGCAGAGCAGUGGUAAUAAAUGUCCCCUCAAGCCAUCUUUUUUAAGAGGCAAAUGCCUAUCAGAGCUAUAUAGAACUUCUAGGAAAGAGUGGGGGAGAUAUCAAAAGGCACUUUGAAGUCCUUCUUUUCUUUUAUAUUUUUGACGCAGGAAGAGGAGACAAAGGGAAGAUGUUCAAAGCCAUUAAGAGCUGUGGGCAUGAGGCUAGUUUAUUACAUAAUUAUCUUACAAAACUCUGUUGAGUUCUUUCAUGGCUAUGAAUUUCGACAUAAUAGUGAAAUUAUUAAUUUCUACAGCCUAUCAUUGCUUUUCAUUUCAUUUUGGCAGAUUUGCUUUUUAGCAGCUGAUAUGAGAUAUUAAAAGAGCUUGCUUUCUUAAUUACAAAAGAAAUCCUGAUGACAAGAACACAUUGCAGGAAUAUAAAUUUGGUGGGGUCUAAAUGCUAACUCUUUUUUUCUGCUAUAGUUCAUCUAAUGGGGCAGAAUCUAUGAGACUGGAGAAAUAGGAAAAAAAGGACUCACACUGCUACAUCUAAUUUGAUAAAGUGAGGGGACAUGGUGAGGACAUUUUAAAACCAAUGUUGUAGAGCACUGAGUGAUGCACCACGGAGAAGAUUUAUAGUUUUAUCUAAGGUUAAACAGAGAUGUGUACUAGUCUGAUAUCGGCAUGAUAAGGAAAAUAAAUGGUUUGUUACUUUAACAGUAAGUCCCAUCAACUUUACUAUUAGAUCAAAUCCUUAUUUCUCCUGAGCAUGAUCCUUUCUGUAAUCCUGGAUCAAAAUUUCUGAUAUGAAAGUAGAGAGUUUGAUUCUCUCCCCCCCAUGUCUCAACGCAAACCAGCAGCACUUGAUAACUGAUUACACUGUAAAAAAAGAAAAUAGUAAGAGAGAGGAAUCAGGUCCCUCAUCACGGCAGAGAUGUAAGUGCCUAUUUGCUACAUGCAUGUGCUCUUUAGAUUUCCAUACUGCUUCUCACUGCUUUAUGUUGGGCAUAAAUUAGUUCAAAAAUCCAUAUCACCUUCAUUGUGAGGAAACAGCUUUGCUUUGAGUAGCUGCCACUUGCAAACAAAAAGGGGGGAAAAAAUGGCCCUACAUGCACAUUAUUGCGGCUGGAAGACGCCGUCAGUGGUGAAACUGUUACUCACAUAUGCUUACAGGUCUCCACAAAUCAGUCCCUUUGUGUAACCUCUGAUUCGUGCUUCCUUCAGAAUAUAGUGCUUUUGCUCUGCCCAGUCCUAAAUGCCUUUCUGUCACACCUGCCCCCCAUGCCCUAGACACAUUCCUUCUCUCCUGUUGUCAGAAUUUUGGGGGUUCUGGUUCUCCAUGAAAAAGGAAGACUUAGCAGUCUGACUUCAUUGCAGAGGACUAAGGGGCAGCAUUUGAUACCAAAAAGAAGCUGAAGAAGGCAGCACAGAGACUGCACAUGUGGCAGCUGAAACAAGAUGGACAAAGCAAAACGCAGGGAUAGGAAUUAAAGCAUCAGAGACCACAACUAAGGGGCAUUGCUUUGGAAUAGGGUUCAUGCAAGGAUAAGGAUAGGAACUGAUGAAAAAUCAGCAACAAGGACAAGAGAAACAGGCUGGAAGAGCAAGAGGCAUGCACAAGGGUUUAUAACCACAAGAAUAUAUUUCAUUAAGAACUUUAAACUGAAGCCUGAGUCUCCAAAUCUCCAUAUUUCUGUGUUUGUAGCAGUUAGUUCUGAACCUCAUGGACAAAAGCAGAGGUGUUGUUCUUGAGUAUCUAUGUGGUAGCAGACUCAUAAAAAAGAUAACAACCUCUUAUUGCUCCUGUUUACUCAGGUAGCUUAAAUAGGAGAGAUCUCUGCUUUGGAUCUAAGGAUAGCACUUUCCUAGGGUCCUAUCCGGAAACCACUGUGAUAUUCUGUGUGUUAGAAUAUACUUGGGCUUUCACCUUUUAGGCAUAGAUAUGGAAAUAUAUCUGGGGGGGGGAAGAAAAGAAUAAAAAUUAGGACUUGACCAUUUUUAUUUAAAAUCACUUCUCUGGUGAAAAAUUAUGCCAAAGAAUUGAAUGAUCUUUAGCUGGAAAUCUAAUUUCUGUUUGGAUAUGUCACUACAUGGAGUCCCAUAUUGGGUGCCAAUUAUGCCCAGCCAAUUAUACCCUAAAUUAUCCUUUGCCAAAGGACCAUAUCUUAUGUCAUUCCCAGGACAUCAAAGAACAAUGUGAUCUCAGUUUCUCUACUUCAGUGAGGAAAAUUGUAGGCUUCAUGAGAAAUAGAGUAUGUUCAGGCACUCUGACUACAGAAGCAAACAGAAGACUAAAGCAUGGUGUCACAGGUCCUGCCAAGAGCGUGCUCCAGCGCAGGCUUCCCAUGGGGUCACAGUCUCUUUCAGGCAUCCACCUGCUCCGGCGUGGGGUCCUCCAUGGGCUGCAGGGGGACAACCUGCCUCAACCUGGAGUUGUUUAGCCUUGAGAAAAGGAGGCUGAGUGGAGACCUUAUUGUUCUCUACAACUACCUGAAAGGAGGUUGUAUAGAGGAGGGUGCUGGCCUCUUCUCCCAAGUGACAGGUGAUAGGAUGAGGGGGAAUGGCCUCAAGCUGCACCAGAGGAGGUUCAGGCUGGACAUCAGGAAAAAAUUUUUCACAGAAAGGGUAAUUGGGCACUGGCAGAGGCUGCCAAGGGAGGUGUUUGAGUCACCAUCCCUGGAGGUAUUUAAAAGACAGGUAGAUGAGGUGCUCAGGGACAUGUUUUAGUGGCAGACAGGAAUGGUUGGACUCGAUGAUCCAAGAGGUCUUUUCCAACCUGGUGAUUCUAUAAUUCCAUGAUUCAUCGUGCUCUUCACCAUGGGUUGCAGAGGAUUCCAGUGCCUGGAGCACCUCUUCACUCUCCUUCUUCACUGACCUUGGUGUCUGCAGAGUUGUUUCACGUAUUCUCACUCUCUCUGGCUCCAGUUGCUCUUGCACAUUUGUUUUUUCUCCCCCUCCUUCUUAACUAUGUUAUCCCAGAGGUGCUACCACCAUGGCUGAUGGGCUUGGCCUUCACCAGUAGUCGGUCCGUCUUGGAGCCAGCUGGCAUUGACUGUGUUGGACAUAAGGGAACCUUCUAGCAGUUUCUCAUGGAAACCAUCCCUGAAUCCCCUGCUACCAAAACCUUGCCACGAAAACCCAAUACAGAGACAUCUCUCAAACACAAAAAGGACUUAAAAAGGCCAGUGGCAGUGACAAAUGAGUUCUGCUGUAUCUUGUUUGGCACGUUUUAAGAUAUCCCUGCCACACAGAGGACAAAACGUGACAUUGGCCACAUCACUGCAAAACGUGGAGUCUUACUUUAAAAUUCUAAUGAAGGCAGCUUUAAGCAAAGGUGCUGCUCUUCACAGGGUAGCUUGAAGCAGAGGCACACAUCCUUCUGUCAGUUCUGUCAGGCAGAAAAUCAUCCCUGGGAAUCACAAACCGGGCACUUAACAUUAGCAGAUGUUUUCCACCACGACCUACCUUCAGCUCCCUGUGUCCCGAUUCCAGUGUGGAUAAUAAAACCACCUUCUACCACAAGGCUGUCAUAAAGAAGAAUUCAUUAACAUUUGUAGAUAAGUCACUUAUUAGAGGGGAAAGCAUCAUAAAAAAGGCCGUAGGAAACAGUCUUAACGAUUCAAGAUACACUAUAAUGCAAACAGAUCACCAUAUUGGAAGGAGUGAUGUUAGUGA